UACGUAGGGGGCAAGCGUUAUCCGGAAUUACUGGGCGUAAAGCGCACGCAGGCGGUUCGCCAAGUUUGGAGUGACAGUUGUCGGCUCAACCGACAAAGGACUUCAAAAACUGGUGAACUUGAGGACGAGAGAGGAACAUGGAACUCCAGGUGUAGUAGUGAAAUGCGUAGAUAUCUGGAAGAACACCAAUGGCGAAGGCAAUGUUCUGGCUCGUUUCUGACGCUCAGGUGCGAAAGCUAGGGGAGCGAACAGG
rnacentral:rRNA from 1 species